AGAAAUGAAACUUUUAAGUAGAAUAAAUUCCAAAAUUUGACAAUCAAAAUCCAUUAGCUGAUACGCUAAUAUUACAAAUCCAGAAUAUUUAGAGCCUACCUAAUUACCAAAAACUUGCGAAUAUAACACUUGCACAAUGAUUAACUUUUCCUAGUCCAAUAACAUUAUAGUAGACCAAGAGAAUCGGAUACGCAGAUAUAUUAAUCUUGAACUCUGAUUGAAGAAAAAUCAUUUAAUCAACAAUGGUAAAGCUGACUACAACUGCUCAAUGUCAAAAUUCCAAAUGUUCCUCAGGUAAUUGAUGUUGGUU
rnacentral:lncRNA from 1 species